GAUGAACGCUGGCGGCGUGCCUAAUACAUGCAAGUCGAGCGAACGGACGAGAAGCUUGCUUCUCUGAUGUUAGCGGCGGACGGGUGAGUAACACGUGGAUAACCUACCUAUAAGACUGGGAUAACUUCGGGAAACCGGAGCUAAUACCGGAUAAUAUUUUGAACCGCAUGGUUCAAAAGUGAAAGACGGUCUUGCUGUCACUUAUAGAUGGAUCCGCGCUGCAUUAGCUAGUUGGUAAGGUAACGGCUUACCAAGGCAACGAUGCAUAGCCGACCUGAGAGGGUGAUCGGCCACACUGGAACUGAGACACGGUCCAGACUCCUACGGGAGGCAGCAGUAGGGAAUCUUCCGCAAUGGGCGAAAGCCUGACGGAGCAACGCCGCGUGAGUGAUGAAGGUCUUCGGAUCGUAAAACUCUGUCAUUAGGGAAGAACAUAUGUGUAAGUAACUGUACACAUCUUGACGGUACCUAAUCAGAAAGCCACGGCUAACUACGUG
rnacentral:rRNA from 1 species